AAAAAACCCCAUAAAUAUUGGUGGCUUAUUAAAAAUAUUCUAGCUUGCAUGUCAGUCUAGUGUGGGUGUUCUCAGGGGGUAGGUAGCCUUCCAUGUAGUGAACUGAGGAAGCAUCCUCCUUCUAUCCUGUGGCCUGGGGGUCCUCCACUUCUACUUUGGUUUUUAUUCCACUAGUGAGAACUAGUUACACGGUCAAACCUAGACACAUGUCAUGCUGGGAAAUGUAGUCCAUGGUCGGAUAGCUCCUCCCUAGCAACAAACGUGCUAGGGACAUUUGCUGACUGCCUCUCCAGCAUCCAUUUGUCAGCACAACAGAAAGUACUUCGACUUUCCUUGGUGGAAUUCACCCUCUACCAUUCUCAGCCUUGUGACUUAGAUGGGGUUGACUCUUGCCCUAGUGGGUGGGCUCCGCCCAAUGUAAGCCAAUGAGCAAGUCACAUACUACUGGCUACAGUGACUGGGUGAGGGAUGGACACAUCAUAUAAUUCAGGCCAAUAGGAAAAGAGAAUCCUCAGACUUGUGCUAGAGUAGUCAGAAAAGACCCUCUCUUUUAUUUUGGGUGUGAAUAUCUGGAAGAGCUUCUGUCAUUUUGCUACCAUGAGAGAGCCAACCUGGAGCUGCAUGCAUGUGUGCGUGAGUGUGUGUGUGCGUGUGUGUGUGUGUGUGUGUGUGUGUAGGGUAGGGUAGGAGGGAGAGUCAAGACCACUGCUUGGAGUCAGAGGAUGAAGCCAACAUUUGGAAAGCAGAGCCCUGAGAUAGAGAGAAACCAGAUUCUUGGUGACAUUAUUGUUGAGGCUGGAUCAUGCCUUGACUGCGACUCACUUUCGUCUUGAACUUUCAAUUAUGUAAAUCAAUAAAUUCCCAUUAUUGUUAAGGUGGUUUGAGUUGGGUGCUUUAUCACUUGUGAUUGAAUAUGUGCUAACCAAUAUGGACCUUUUUGGUUAAAUAAAAAUAUCGAAAAAGUUUGGCCAAGUGUCAAGGUGGCCGGAGAUAAUUUUUCAAUGUUUCCAUAAAAGACAUUUUAUUAGUUUUUACGUAGUGGAGAUCAUAUGCAUAAUUAAUUUAAUCCUCCUUAUUUUCUCUUAGCAUGAUUUGCAAGCAUCUCUCCAUGUCAUUAAAAACUGUAAGCAUUAUUCAAAAUGGCUUGUUCCAUAUUCUAAUUUGUCACCACUGCCUAAUCAUUGGGCAUUUAGGCUGCUUUGAGUUUUUAGUUCCUUGGUUUUUCCUUUAGGGUACAUUCCUAGAGGUGGAGUUACUUGGUCAAAGGUGGGAGCAUUGUAAAGAGCUUGAUAACAAUUGCCAAAUUAUUUCCUGGAAAAGUCAGACCAGUUACACUCCCUCCAGCAAUGGGCUUGCAUCACGGCUCACAUUGGCCUCCCCGUACCCUGGUCGGCAUGUAAGCAUCUCACACAUCUUUGUUAAUGCAACAGGCCAAAAGUGGGCCUUUGUUUAAAUUUGCUCGAAUGCCAAUGACUUGACUUCAUAUCUCAUGACCUAGUGUUUAAUAUACUGCUGAGUCCCUGACACUUGACCUGCUUGACCUCUGACUCUUGGCCUCUGACAUUUGCCCUGCUUCAGACAAUGUUCUAAAUAACAUAGACCAGGGUUUCUUAGCAUCGGCACUAGUGACAUUUAACUAGUGACACACAUGUAUACAUGCAAAUAUAUAGCUAGAUAGCUAGAUAGAGAGUUCUAUCUAUCUCUAUCUAUCUAUAUUGUAUAUAUUUUUAAACUUUCUUUAUAUUAUGAUGUUUUGACAUCUUAAAAAGCCUUUCUGACUGGGAGAGACUGCCCCUCCUGGGCUAGCCUACUCUUAGAGAUGGCAAAGGCCCAGCCAGGAGCGUGCCUUUCGUAUGCAAACUACCCAUUCCAGAGCCACACCCCUCUACCCAGCCCUCACACCCCAGGAGACAAUAUUCCUCUGCCUGGAUCAUCCCAGGGCCAGGGACCAGGCCCUAGAGACCACCCCUAUGGCCCAAAGCCCACAGGAAUGAUUCAAACUAGCCGGUUCUCAACUGUUUACCUGUCUGUCUGUCCUUGCUUUCCCCGUGGAAACCCCAAUAAAGGCCAUGGCCUAAGCUCUCCCCUCUCUCCUGUCUUCUGCCUCCUGACUACCCUAGUGUUUUCCCCUGUGGCCCUGUGUCAUGUACGAUGACUCCCUCUCUAGGACCUAUGAGUUUAAUAAAGGUUGAUCUGCUACAAGCAUCUCCUGUUUCCCCCAUGGCCACACCUGACUGGCCGUCCUCUGAACACACAGUUGAAAUCGAUUUAACAACCCACUAUCUAUCCAGCCUCCUGGUUCUGCUUCUCUGUUGAACCUGGCCUAAUACAACAGGCUUGGAACCUAUUUCAAAGACGAGGUUUUGCUGACGGUCUGAAGGAAGGGGUGCAGAAAAGCGGUUGAUCAAGGACUGCCAGACUUCGGCCCACACAAUUAUCCCUUGUCCACAGCCUUUCAACUUGAAAGAGCCAAGGUCUGGCCAGAGUCAGGCUUGGACGGCUCACCUUGCGCCCUUCUGAGUGAUUUCAUCUGCCUCUUUGACAUCUUGCUCCAGAACAAGGCUCACCGCUUUAGACCCUACUUACUGUUCCUUACUGUGCUUGCCCCUUUCCCCGCCAUGCUUCAUUAGCGGCAUUUUAAGGGCGAACCUGCUGGAACUGUUGGCAGAACUCCACAAGGUACAAGCGAGCCUUUUUAGUGCCAAUGGCUCCAGCCCCCAGAUAUCUCUAAAGGACGUUUUUCAUUUCUUUCCCUUGUGGUCCAUCACCAUCCCGUUGUGCUUAAAGGAUUAGGGAUGGCAGUGGGUGAGUUUUGAGCUGUAUCCUUCUGGAAGGCCCCAGAUUGGGGGGAGACUGUCGGUUCUAAACCAGAAUUUCCGUAUGGGUAGCCGAUUAAGAGAUGAUAUCUGAAGACUUGCAAAGGAGUCUGGCAGCUGCUGCGCUGAUCUCAGGGGAGAGGACCCUUCCUUCUUGUGGAGGAUUCAUGAAGAGAUUGCUCAGCUAACCACAGAUCCUCCUGGAAACUUGUAGAUGCUAUUGAAAAAUCCGUGCUCUCUGUGGGCAAAGAGACAUCCAGGGAGCGGAAAAUUGGGGCAAAUGCCCCCACUGGGGCCCAGGAGGGCGUCUGUAGUUUCAGAUUCUUUUGAGCAGAGAGAGUGACUCUCGGCUGCGGGCACAAAACGUUUAAAAAAAGAAGCCACGUUUAUUUAUAGUCAGCCAGCUUCUGACCCGUUUCUCUUUUCUCAUCAUGAAGGCCAAGAGGGGGGCGGUUUCACUGUGGCUCCUGCCCCUGUUCAAGGCUUUCCUUGAAAGUCACAAAAACCAGGAAAGAGCCUGCCCCCAUUGUAAAAACCGUAUAUGCUCAUUAUAAAACCAAAAUUCAUACAGCACCGAGAAAUAUAUAGAGAGAGGAAUAUAUAGAAAGAGGAAAAGAGAGAAAAACCUUCCAAACUCCCGCUACCCAGAGAUUAUCACUGUUAUCGUUUUGAUAAAUGUUCUUCUGGAUAUUUCUAAAUGCACAUUCACAUACACACACUCUUUCUCUUUCACACACACACAUACACACUCACAAGACUGUUUCAUACAUGCUUACACGCAAAUACACUCACACACACAUACACACCCACCCACACACUCGUACACACGCUCACACACAUACACGCACUUAUCACCCUUUCUCGUACACACAUACUCUUUCACACACUUGCACGCACACACACUAAUACACCACCACACACUUCUAUGCAAAUGAGAUCACAUCCUGCUUGUUCUCUUAUUCUGUAACCUGCUUUUUUACCUAACCUUAUGCCAUGGUCCUGUUUCUGGGUCAACAAAUUUAGAAAUAGCUCAUCAAUUUUAAUGGCUGCUUAAAAUUCUCCUGUGUGGUUAAAAUGUACCGUAUUUAACCAGUUCCCUAUUGGUGGACAUUUAGGUUGAUUUUGAUGUUUAUUGUUGCUAUGAAAAUCUCUGUGGUUAUAUCUUGAUCCACUUGUAUAAUUUAUUGGUCAUUUAAACAUCUCUCUCUCUCCUUUUUUGAAGUACUGUAUGUAAUUGUCUUUUGGGGGGUUGAGAUGAGAAAAUAACAUGGCAUUUCCUGAGACUUCUGAAUCCUCUAGGAGAGUUCUCAGCAUGGAAGUGAAACUCAGGAGCUGGGCCCAAGUCAGUGCUGUUCAGACUUCCCGGAUGAGAAGAAUCACGAGGGAUAGGUGGGCUGAAAGUCCAGUUCCUGGGGCUCUCUGGGACCUUUUGCAUCAGUCUCCUCGGGGGAAAAACAGAGACACCAGUAUAGGUGGGGACCCAGGGGCAGAGAGAAGCAGGAGGAAGCUGAGAGAACUCACAAAAAUCAUUGGCUGUAUAACCGAGGUUUGGACAGAGUUUAAAUGUCUAGGAGGGGCACAGGGAGCCAGGAAAUUACAAUAUAGUGAGAUAGUGAGCCAAGUGUUAAGUACAAGCACAAGAUGUGUUGGAGGCGCUGAAAAGGCUCAUCAGUUCUUGGAGGUCUGGGAAGGCUUCCUGGAGAAAGUGCCCCAAGUAAGUGCUCUAAGGUGUCUUGGAAAUGGCCAGGUGAUGGAAAUAUGGGAAGGGGGUUCAGGAGACAGCAUCCUAGGAAGAGGGCAAAGCUGUCAUAGAGGCCAAGAGGGGAGCAAGACAUGGUGCUUGCCCUCGCCGAGCCUCAAAUCUAGACAAACAGAUGAACAGGUAAGUUCAAAACACAGAGCUAAAUCUGGUGACAGUGGGGACUGACCCAGUUGGGGGAAGCGCUUGGGGUCUGAGACAAUUUACCGAAACCUGAUAUUCUCCUGAAAGGCAUUUCUUUCCUCUUGCUCUUAGAGACCAAAAGGACUUUUCCUGUAACUCAGAAAACAAUACAGUGGUGCUGAUUCAGUGCCUAGUGUCAUUGCUAUUAAGGGUCUUCAUUUUCAUGUGACCAAGAUGGCAACUGAAGUAAUUUACAAGACAGGAGGCAGGACUUGGGCAUAUAAACAAGGGCAGGAUUGUCUUGUGAUUACUCCUGGGCUUCAGUGAGAAGUGGGGACCAGCUUUGUAGCUGUCGAUAGAGCCGGGAUUAUGAGAAGGAAACUGGGAAAAGGUCAUUUUAAGAAACUGACAUGCCCCUUAGAGUUGGUUUGACAUGAGCUAUACCACCCAAAGGUUCUGGGACAUCAAAAAUUCCCUCUUCAGCCGUUGGUGGUCUCUGGAAUGUCUAUGUCUAGCAUGGGGUGAAGGAGUGAAUGUGAAUGAUUGUUUAUACAUGCAGCAUAGUGUGGGCUGUGAGUCUCUGAGUGUGGUUCAUGAAUCUUCUGGAAGCUUCUAGAAGGCACAUCCUUGGGUCCUAUCCCAGACCCUUGGAAUUGGACACUCCUAGCUGUUUAUCUAGCAUCCAUCUCAGCUCUGCUCCCAUUCUCUUCUCUUUCCCAACAGAAUCAAGAUUUUGUGAUUCAGUUGUACACCCCUCUCCCAAGUCAUCAUAAAACUCGAGGAAAACUAUUCUUAGAUAUAAUUUGACUACUCUCAAGGAAUUGCUAUUUUUCUGCCUGUGAUUGCUUCAAGAAUGGGCACUUGACCCGUUUUGAUCCAGUAAAAGGUAAAAGGAAGCCUGUUGAAGGCUCCAGAACAAAUUCCCCCUUUCCAAAGAAAAAAACUGGGAAGAGAUGUCUUUUCUUCUUCCUCUGGAUGCUCUUGACUCUGAGUGUUGUACCUGGAACUGCUGCUGCAGCCAUUUGUGACUCUCUGGGCACGAAGCCAACACUGAAGGGAGCAGAGAGAAGAGAGGGAAAGAACCUGGGUUCUUGAAGGUAUCAUUGAGUGGCUGAAUCAACCUCCCCUGAGGCGGGACCUCUCUGUGGACUUCCUCUUAUGUGAGAUAAUGAACUCUUUUAUUGUUUGAGUUGGACUUUCCAUUACUUGCAGCCAAAGCACCCUAACCAAUACACACUCACUGAAUCAGAAUCUCUGGUGACGAACCUGUCCCAGCUGAUUCUCAUGUACGCUUAAGCGUGGAAACCGCUGGAAAGAUGGAGGGGACACUGAACUGGCCCUCCAGGUUCUGGCCCUGGCUCUGCCACUAAAUUGCUGAGCCACUUGGGGCAAGUCACAUUCCCUGUCUGAGCCCCAGCUUCCUUGUGUGACAAAGGAGAGAGACAUCCUAGAGAUUCUCUUUAUCUUUGUGUUCUCCUGUCUUGCUAUAAUGUGGUUCUAGGUGAGUCUGGUGGGUACCUGUGGCAGGAGAGAACACUGAGGAAGAGACUUCACUAGAUGCUUUGAUGUCAGUACUGCAGAGCAGGAAGGAAUGUUAUGGCUAUUUUCAACAAAAGCUGGCUGCAGACUAUUCAGCUUUCUAGAGGUAUGGCAUAAUUAAUCUCAGGGAUUCGAAGGUUCUAUUGUCUAGAAAAAUGCCUUGAUGGAGAUUUUGUUCCCAAUAUGGGGCACUCCCCUCAUCCCCCAGCAGAGCCUGGAUGAAAGAUUGAAAUAAGAGAGGGUUGGACUUCUUGGUACUGUAGGUUAAAGUGUGAUGCAACAGAAUCUUGCAUUUCUAGCAGUCCCUAGGAAAAGAGGGUGAGGGGUGCAGGAACAGAGCAGAAGGGAAAAGUGGGCAGGGUCUAGGGAAGGAGAGGCUGAGAAGAUGGAGGGUCGUGACCGGGGCCUCAGGAGGACGUGGCCAGAGGGGAAUUUCCUAGGAUGAGGAAUGGUCCAUAAAUACCAGGACAGUGACAUCUAAUGUCCACCUCGGACUCGUCACCUGGCCGGUUUUGUGCUGUAACCCCCCUCCGUCACCCCAAAUCUUCGGUGAAAGUCUGCAAUAUACUUCUCGUUCUUGUUUCUUGGGGGAAUAAAGAAAGAACUGAGGGCGAGUUCACUGUGAUAUGAUGUGUAGAAAGAACGUGGACAUCUCAGUAGAUUUUCAGAAUCUAUCCAUUCUACGGAAGCAGGAAAACGUCACAAGAAGUGACCAGUCUACUUGCUUCUGGUGGAAUUGACUUCAUCAUGGUACCCCUGCCCCCCACCUUCCUCCAGAGAUGAGCAUGUGACCCAGGCCUGGCCACUCAGACUCUUUGGAAACCUGCCAUACUCAUAUAUCAGAUGAGAAGACUGAAGCACAGAGAGGUUAAGUGGCUUCUCCAAGGUCACACCACUGAUUGGCCCUGGGCUACCAUCCAUGCCCAUCUUCCUCUACUUUAUAUGGGAUGCUGCCACAGCAUGGCUUGACAAGUGGUGCAUUGGUCUGCGCCUGGGAUCCGGACCUGCGAACCCCUGGCCAUCUGAGCGGAGUGAGUGAACUUAAUCGCUACGCCACUGGGCUGGCCCCCUGGAAACAUUCUUAACCUACACUGACAAGUAC